rnacentral:rRNA from 1 species
CUAUGCGCCUUGCCAGCCCGCUCAGGUGUGCCAGCGCCGCGGUAAUACGUAUGGGGCAAGCGUUAUCCGGAUUUACUGGGUGUAAAGGGAGCGCAGGCGGCCUGCCAAGUCUGGUGUGAAAACCCGGGGCCCAACCCCGGGCCUGCAUUGGAAACUGGCGGGCUGGAGUGUCGGAGGGGCAGGCGGAAUUCCUAGUGUAGCGGUGAAAUGCGUAGAUAUUAGGAGGAACACCGGUGGCGAAGGCGGCCUGCUGGACGAUGACUGACGCUGAGGCUCGAAAGCGUGGGGAGCAAACAGG